UGCUUUCUUUAUCUUACUGAAGUGUGCCCA
rnacentral:piRNA from 1 species